CCCCAGAAUGGGGACUGGGGCCCCUGGAUAGGCAAGGGACACCCCCAGAAUGGGGACUGGGGCCCCUGGAUAGGCAAGGGACACCCCCAGAAUGGGGACUGGGGCUCCUGGAUAGGCAAGGGACACCCCCAGAAUGGGG